rnacentral:rRNA from 1 species
GCGCGAAAACUUUACAAUGCUGGCAACAGCGAUAAAGGGACCUCGAGUGCCAGGAUACAAUCUUGGCUGUCGUAAUGCCUAAAAAGCAUUGCAUAGCAAGGGCCGGGCAAGACCGGUGCCAGCCGCCGCGGUAACACCGGCGGCUCGAGUGGUAACCGCUAUUAUUGGGUCUAAAGGGUCUGUAGCCGGCCGGAUAAGUCUCUUGGGAAAUCCAGCUGCUCAACAGUUGGGCUUUCAGGAGAUACUGUUCGGCUCGAGACCGGGAGAGGUGAGAGGUACUUCAGGGGUAGGG